AACGAACGCUGGCGGCAUGCCUAACACAUGCAAGUCGAACGAAGCCUUCGGGCUUAGUGGCGCACGGGUGCGUAACGCGUGGGAAUCUGCCCCUUGCUUCGGAAUAACAGUUAGAAAUGACUGCUAAUACCGGAUGAAGUCUUCGGACCAAAGAUUUAUCGGCAAGGGAUGAGCCCGCGUAGGAUUAGGUAGUUGGUGGGGUAAAGGCCUACCAAGCCGACGAUCCUUAGCUGGUCUGAGAGGAUGAUCAGCCACACUGGGACUGAGACACGGCCCAGACUCCUACGGGAGGCAGCAGUGGGGAAUAUGGGACAAUGGACGCAAGUCUGAUCCAGCAAUGCCGCGGGAGUGAUGAAGGCCUUAGGGUUGUAAGCUCUUUUACCAGGGAUGAUAAUGACAGUACCUGGAGAAUAAGCUCCGGCUAACUCCGUG
rnacentral:rRNA from 1 species